rnacentral:rRNA from 1 species
CAGUCGCCGCGGGAAUACGUAGGGUGCGAGCGUUAAUCGGAAUUACUGGGCGUAAAGCGUGCGCAGGCGGCUUUGCAAGACAGAUGUGAAAUCCCCGGGCUCAACCUGGGAACUGCAUUUGUGACUGCAAGGCUAGAGUACGGUAGAGGGGGAUGGAAUUCCGCGUGUAGCAGUGAAAUGCGUAGAUAUGCGGAGGAACACCAAUGGCGAAGGCAAUCCCCUGGACCUGUACUGACGCUCAUGCACGAAAGCGUGGGGAGCAAACAGGAUUAGAUACCCGCGUAGUCCCUGUCUCUUAUAC